rnacentral:rRNA from 1 species
GUGUCAGCAGCCGCGGUAAGACAGAGGGUGCAAGCGUUGUUCGGAAUUACUGGGCGUAAAGCGCGCGCAGGCGGAUCCUGUAAGUCAGAAGUGAAAUGUCACUGCUCAACGGUGGCGCUGCUACUGAUACUGCGGAUCUGGGGACCGGUAGAGGCUGGUAGAAUUGCAGGUGUAGCGGUGGAAUGCGUAGAGAUCUGCAAGAAUACCCGUGGCGAAGGCGGCCAGCUGGGCCGGGUCCGACGCUGAGGCGCGAAAGCGUGGGGAGCAAACAGGAUUAGAUACCCUGGUAGUCC